rnacentral:rRNA from 1 species
GACGAACGCUGGCGGCGUGCCUAAUACAUGCAAGUAGAACGCUGAAGAGAGGAGCUUGCUCUUCUUGGAUGAGUUGCGAACGGGUGAGUAACGCGUAGGUAACCUGCCUUGUAGCGGGGGAUAACUAUUGGAAACGAUAGCUAAUACCGCAUAACAAUGGAUGACACAUGUCAUUUAUUUGAAAGGGGCAAUUGCUCCACUACAAGAUGGACCUGCGUUGUAUUAGCUAGUAGGUGAGGUAAUGGCUCACCUAGGCGACGAUACAUAGCCGACCUGAGAGGGUGAUCGGCCACACUGGGACUGAGACACGGCCCAGACUCCUACGGGAGGCAGCAGUAGGGAAUCUUCGGCAAUGGGGGCAACCCUGACCGAGCAACGCCGCGUGAGUGAAGAAGGUUUUCGGAUCGUAAAGCUCUGUUGUAAGUCAAGAACGGGUGUGAGAGUGGAAAGUUCACACUAUGACGGUAGCUUACCAGAAAGGGACGGCUAACUACGUGCCAGCAGCCGCGGUAAUACGUAGGUCCCGAGCGUUGUCCGGAUUUAUUGGGCGUAAAGCGAGCGCAGGCGGUUUGAUAAGUCUGAAGUAAAAGGCUGUGGCUUAACCAUAGUAUGCUUUGGAAACUGUCAAACUUGAGUGCAGAAGGGGAGAGUGGAAUUC